GUCCCGCCCGUGUGGGACGGCGGUACCGGGAGCGCCCGGGCCCGGAGCUGCCCUGCCGGGGACCUGCAGUGUCCGGGCUCCGUGGGAUGAUGGAGCAGCCGAGCGGGUGUGGAGGCCGCAGCCGCGCUGAAGGUGAGCGGGGAGCGAGAAGAGCCCUGAGCAGUCGUGAGGAGUUUCCCGUUUGGAGCUGGGCUUCAGAAGGAAAAAACCCGAGACUGGUGCUCCUAACAGAACUGGUUCACUCAAUUGGUAUUCUGAGGCUCCUGGUGCUUGUGGCUGCAGCGUCUGGUAGGGUCACUGGGAAGCAUGGGACAAGAACUGACCCACAACUUCUUGCAGGCCCUAGCAGGGAGAGGAGCAGCAACCUGUGCUGGAAGAGUGCCCACAAGUACCUGUGAGGUGAUGAUCUACAGUUUUGAAGUGAAUCUGGUGAAGAAAGUGCAUUGUUUUGAAGGAACACCUCAGGUGGAAUGUGUGAGAAGGAUUAUUUGACGAGAGAAAUCUUGACAGCGAGAAAUAUGGCUGGUUUGGCUCAAGUUAAAAUUGCUGCUUUCUGCAGAGCUGCAUCAAUUUCCUCAGUUCCAAGGGAGGAUUGCCCUGUGUUCUUGGCUUGUCAAGAGCUUUCAUUUUGCCCCAGGAGGAGCAUUGUGGUUUUGGUGCUGUGUUCAGCUGGAAUAGUGCUCUGGUCCCUUUUUAAGGGAGAAGCCAGAGCUUGGAUUUCUCUCUCUUUGCUGCUGAAGGAAAGCCCUGAAGGUGCCUGAAAAGGCACAGUGGGUGCUCUGGGAGGCAGGAAUGGUUGGGAUAUCCUGGUUUUGUCUGGGACACUGGGCAGGUGUACCCUGCUCACCUCCUUCAUCUCCUUUGGCUGUCCUGCUUGAAAUAAAAGUGUUAUUCCCCUUGGUCCCUCCAUAAUUCCAGGGACAUUGUUGAUCCUGCUGUGGCUGGCUACUGGGCAGAGGAGAUGCUGCCUCAAGUGUGCUCCCCAAAUCUCUGCCCAGGGCAGUCCAAGCAGUGCUCAUGCAGGUGUUUGCCUCGGGCUGUUCUCCUGAGCUCAGCCUUUCCGUACUUGUUGCUGUGUGUGCUUUUCACGGACGGUGACUUUGCCCUGACAAUUCUGCGCUCUGCAGUCACAACUUUAUUUCACUUCUUUUGUCUUUCCCCCUGCUUUCUUCGUCUUGCCCUUUCCCCGCUGUUUCACUGCUUUCUACAUCUUCAAACUUUGAGCUGUGUGCUUUCCUAGCCUCUUAAUGAAAGUAAAUUAAUAAAUACGGGAGCAGGAGACUUUUUUGCCA